UAAGACAUCAAACAUUUCUGCUAGGAGAAGAUUAAACCAGAUUCACUGCAUUUGCAUGAAGCACACUGCCAUUCUUAUCUCAAUUCCAAAAAGGAGCUUAAUUCACUUAAUGUCUGUGAUAUUUAUGACACAGUAUUUAUUGUGCCCAAAGCUGGAAUUCUUACUCCGGUUCUGCCUGAUAAGUCAGAGGAACAUCGUACAUGGCAAGUCAUAAAAUGCUGAACACCACAGGAACUUCUGGGUGACAGAAAAACUAAUAUCUGACCCAUUUUCCUUUCUCAAGGAGGAGUGAAGAAAAGACCACUUGGUGACAAUGACUUUCUUGGAAGAAAAAAAAAAAAAAAAAAAUAUAUAUAUAUAUAUAUAUAUAUAUAUAUAUAUAUUUUUUUUUUUUUUUUUAAAGAAAAGACUACUGAUCUUUCACCCAGGACAAAACAAUGUAUGUAAAUUUGCCUCCUCCUCUCAAUCCUACAUGUCUCUAGCUUCUCUUCAAACUUCAUGAUCCCUCAGAUUGUACAAGCCCUUGGUCAAAGCUAGCACUGAGAGGUACUAUUUAUUGAGAAAUUAUCAGUCAAAGAUUAUUAGGCACUAGAAAAUAAACUGCUUUAUAGAUCUGUAGUAAGUAACUUUAAAAAAAGUAACUUGUUAUUUUAAGCAAGUACAGAUGAAAACUCAAACCAUAAUAAAAAUAUGAAUAGCAUCAGUGUUCUAGAAACACUACUGAAGAACCAAAGGCAGAAUAGUCAAAUAAUUAUGGCACCAUUAUUUUAGCUUUGUCU
rnacentral:lncRNA from 10 species